rnacentral:rRNA from 1 species
GACGAACGCUGGCGGCGUGCUUAACACAUGCAAGUCGAACGAAGAGCGAUGGAAGCUUGCUUCUAUCAAUCUUAGUGGCGAACGGGUGAGUAACGCGUAAUCAACCUGCCCUUCAGAGGGGGACAACAGUUGGAAACGACUGCUAAUGCCGCAUACGAUCUGACCUCGGCAUCGAGGAUAGAUGAAAGGUGGCCUCUAUUUAUAAGCUAUCACUGAAGGAGGGGAUUGCGUCUGAUUAGCUAGUUGGAGGGGUAACGGCCCACCAAGGCGAUGAUCAGUAGCCGGUCUGAGAGGAUGAACGGCCACAUUGGGACUGGGACACGGCCCAGACUCCUACGGGGGGCAGCAGUGGGGAAUCUUCCGCAAUGGACGAAAGUCUGACGGAGCAACGCCGCGUGAGUGAUGACGGCCUUCGGGUUGUAAAGCUCUGUUAAUCGGGACGAAAGGCCUUCUUGCGAAUAGUUAGAAGGAUUGACGGUACCGGAAUAGAAAGCCACGGCUAACUACGUG